CAACAAUAUAAUACCUACAUUAUAAUACAGUCCGAACCGAUAAAUCUCAUCGUUGAAUAUUUACUUAGUAUUUUUUCAUUUUAAAUUUAGUAUUUUGGAAGCGGCCGAUUUCGUAGGAAAUUCUCCAGACAGUUAGAUCAGCGAAAGUCGAUGUUUUCGUCGGAAUAAUAUUGUAAUCGUUUCGAUGAGACUCUAGGGGUUUACACCACGAGCAUUCGCAACA